UCGAGAAUCUUCGGCAAUGGGCGAAAGCCUGACCGAGCGACGCCGCGUGCGGGAUGAAGGCCUUCGGGUUGUAAACCGCUGUCAAUGGGGAGGCCUAUCUUUGGAGGAAGGACGGGCUAAGUUCGUGCCAGCAGCCGCGGUAAGACGAACCGUCCAAACGUUAUUCGGAAUUACUGGGCUUAAAGGGUGCGUAGGCGGUGCUACAAGUCGGGUGUGAAAUCCCUCAGCUUAACUGAGGAACUGCGCCCGAAACUGUAGUGCUGGAGUGAGGCAGGGGUGAGCGGAACUGAUGGUGGAGCGGUGAAAUGUGUUGAUAUCAUCAGGAACACCGGUGGCGAAGGCGGCUCACUGGGCCUUUACUGACGCUGAGGCACGAAAGCUAGGGGAGCAAACGGGAUUAGAUCCUGGUAGU
rnacentral:rRNA from 1 species